rnacentral:misc_RNA from 1 species
CUCGCUUCUUUUUCUUUUUCUUUUUUUUUAUUUUGCUGAUCCUAGUCGCGAGACUUUGACAGUCUUGUCAACUUUCGCGUGUGCGAGAAAGCUGCGAAUAUAUUUGAGUUGCGUGCUCGUUGAAGAGACGUUCUUCUCACGGUGAUAACGAAAUUUCCACGCUGUGCGAGAAAGCGUGGGUGUGUCUUUUUUAACGCCGUCCAAGGAGAAGAUGCGAGAUAAAACGAUCGUGAAUGGUCGGAAGCUUGUGCACGUUACGUCGGUUCGUGUAUAUGAAACGCCGUUUCAUCGAUCGAUUGCAAAAAAUUGCGAAAGUAAAGGGUCGUUAACAGAGAAAUAUUGUUUGAAGGCCGCAAAGGAAAAGUAUGAUUUUAUUCACGAGGCAAAACGAAAAAAGGCAAACAAGAUUAGCAGACGAUGAUCGGCGUGAAUGGGAACCACGAGCGAAUUGACGGGCACACGUCUAACACCGUAGUAAAGAGCACAACACCACCAGCACGACGACGGCGACGACGACGACGGCGACGGCGAGCGACGACGACGACGACGACGGCGACGGCGGCGGCACGAAGACGACGACGACGACGACGACGUUGACGGGCGCGAGGUCGGUGAGAGACUGGGCGACACGCGACGAGUCACCGUCGGCGAUGAGUGGAGUCGCUCUGACGAGGAUCCUGGGGCCAUCAGGCUGCCCGUGAGGGGGUGGAGGCGCCGGAGCGUUUGGGGUGGGAGGGAAAGCAGAGAGAGAGGAAUGCCGCUCGGGGGCGAGUACACGCCGCGCCGGGUGCGGGGAGUAAAGCGGCGGUGAGGUGGGGACCACGACGUCGGCGUCGGCGUCGCUUCUUUGCCGAGGGCGUGGUCCUGAUCGCGGCUCUUCGCGAGUUCAGAGAUACAGACCGGAUCCGAUACCGGCGCUAGCUACUCUCGACGCUGUAAAAUUUCUCGACAGUCAGACCAGCUUUCGAAGACGACGAUCCAUAGUUUCCAGAGUCGGAACGUUUCUUCUACAGGUUUUACGACGUCUUUCCCUUUUUCUUCGUCUUCGAAUUGAUUCGUGAAAUUUGAAUAAGAACGGGUAAUAACGCAACAUUUGUUUUCUCUUUGUUUGAAGAUUCUCCGAAGGGGUAGUUUGGAAACUGUGAUUAUGUAAGAUAUUAACAUAAUGUCUUCCUUUCUUUUUCUCGAAUUUUUUAAUUGAUACUAUACGGCGUGGACUUUGGAAACAGAUGGAUGAUAAUAGAAGAUAUGUUUCUUCAACGUUCUACGAAGUUUGCGACGAAGAAUUACGUAUAUAGGACUUUUGGUUAGCGUCCCUUUUUUGUUUGUCUUUCUUGAUUUUCAUUAACACGUGUGGAGUUUGAAGAAAGAUGGAUGAUAAUGGAGAAGAUUUGUUUUCUCUUUGUUGAUUACUGUAUAA